CGCGGUACUUUGACCGUGCAAAGGUAGCAUAAUAAUUAGUUUUUUAAUUGAAAGCUGGAAUGAAUGAUUGGACGAGAAAAUUACUGUCUCAAUUUAAUUUUAUUAGAAUUUUAUUUUUAAGUAAAAAAGCUUAAAUUAUAUUAAAAGACGAGAAGACCCUAUAGAGUUUUAUAUUUAAUUUAUUGUUAAUUUUUUAGUAUAUUUUUAUUAUUAUUAAAUUAAAUAUUUUAUUGGGGUGAUAGAAAAAUAUUAUAAACUUUUUUUUUAAAAAAAACAUUAAUUUAUGAUUUUAUGAUCCAUUAUUUAUGAUUAGAAGAAUUAGUUACCUUAGGGAUAACAGCGUAAUUUUUUUUUAGAGUUCUUAUCGAAAAAUAAGAUUGCGACCUCGAU
rnacentral:rRNA from 1 species